GUCUCCAUGGCUCAGUGGUAGAGCGUUGGUCUCAUAGUUAUGACCCGGGGGUCCACCUCUGGGAAUUCAUGCCAUGGCAAUCCAAAGGUCGAGAGUUCGACCCUCUCUGGGGACA